CCGAAUUUUUGGCUCUCGUUUUCUCUUUGGUUAUCUAGCUGUAUGAGUGUACAUGACAUUAUAAAGCUAGGUUACCAAAGACAAAAACAGAUGCCAGUGAU